rnacentral:tRNA from 2 species
GGAGGGUUGGCAGAGCGGUCGAAUGCGGCGGUCUUGAAAACCGUUGUGGGUGAUGAGCCCACCGGGGGUUCGAAUCCCUCACCCUCCGCCA